GGGUAGCCGAAGGUCCGGCUGCCCCCGCCUCCUUCCGUCUGAUCUGCGUUCUCCCGCGGCUGCGCCGGCUCGGCCGCCCGGGAGACAAAGCACCGCCGCUGCCGCCGCCGCAACCGAGCAGGUCCCGGGCCAUGGCCGGGCCGCUCCCCGGCUCCGCGUCUCCCGUCCCGCCACUGCUGCCGUCGCCCUAGUCCGCGCCGUGAGGUUUUUGAGCACCAACUACAUGCCAGGCACUGGAAUUCAGACAAAGAACCUCUGCCCUCCUAGAGCAGGCAAAAAUGACCCAGAUGUGGAAGCAGAGGCCCAGAGAGGCUUAAAGCUUGCCCGGGGUCACAUAGCCUGGACACUACAGAGCUGACAUUUGAACCCAGAGAAGAGCAAGCCGAAACCAGAACUGAGCAGAGGGCAGGGAAGUGAGCAGUGGCCUGAGAGGUGUCAGCUGAGAUGCCUCCUCCUCCAGGAAGCCUUCCAGGAUCCCACAAUUCACGCUCUCGUGGUGUUUCCACCAUUGAAGCACUGAGCACACAGCAGAUGGACAGCGACUGCAGACACAAUGUCAACACCAAAGCUAAUGGUCCAGAGGGAGUUUUGGUUCCCAGAGCCCAGGGGGCACCUACUUCUACAGGUUCUUAGGUGGCCUGUGUGUGUCAGAUGAGGCUUCCUCCUCCACUCCUGCCCCCACCUACAACCCGCGGCCACAUCCUGAGGAUUUCUGACUUCUGACCUCCAGAGCUGCAAACCAAGUGUCCAAAGGGCCUGUCUUUGGCUUUACUUUGGAGCAAUUAGUUAUCCUGACCAAGGAGGAAGUCACUCAUCAUUUCAUUCCCACCACAAGGACGUGUGGAAAAACUGAGGUGAUCAGGUUUCCAGACAAAGAGGAAAGGUCUGUCUUGGGAUGCCACGAGCCCUUGGCUCACGGGUGAAUAAUGUUUCAUGCCACUUAGGGAACUCUCUUGAUAUUAUUGGUCAAGAAAAAACAAACCUCCUGCAGCUUGAUACACAGAGAGACUCACCAUCAUGGGUUGAAGGAACCCAACCCCCACUCAUGAAAACAGUACGGAACACUGAGCCCUUAUGUGCCACACACUGUCUUAUGUGUUUUACAUGCAUCAUCAUUCCUGAUAAUGACCCUUUGAGUUGGCUGCUGUGAUACCCCCAUUUUACAGAUGGGGAGACCGAGGCACUAGUUAUACAGCUGGGAAAGGGGCACUGCUGUGGUCACCAGAAAGCCCCUCUUGGCAUUUUUCCAUCAGGAGUCUAGAGACACCCGCCACUCACACACUCCACUGAGGUGGGCACAGCUUGUAAAAUGGCUGGUCUUAGGGCCACAGCCUGCGGCCCCCGAUUGGGGCAGGGCACAAUCUCAGCUCCUCAGAUCUAGACCCCAGAGUCUAACCAGCUUCCACCUGCUGCAAUGAGUGGAAAGUGUAUUCCAAUCCUUCCAUCUUCCUGUGUUGGAGCCCACAGCACAAUCACCAACCGAGAUGCCCACAGGACCUGGGCAGGUGGUGUAGGUGCAGACAGAGGCAAAUCAUGGGCACGUGUCCUAACGGGGAGGGCCCCUCCUCAGCUAGCUGCUGUCAUGUUGGAAUUUGGGCCCUGUGUGGCCAGAUCUUACUGUUUUCCAGUGAAGCCAGUAAUCGAGAAUUUUAAUGAAAUUAGAACAUUCUUUAACACCAUACACAAAAACAAACUCAAAAUGGAUUAAAGACCUAAAUGUAAGACUGGAUACUAUAAAACUCUUAGAGAGAACAGUCUUUGACAUAAUCACAGCAAUAUCUUUUUCGAUUCGUCUCCUAGAGUAAUGGAAAUUAAAAAUAAACAAAUGGGACCGAAUUAAACUCAAAUGCUUUUGCACAGAAAAGGAAACCAUAAACAAGACGAAAAGACAACCCACAGAAUGGGAGAAAUUAUGUGCAAACGAUGCUACUGACAAGGGAUUAAUCUCCAAAAUUUACAAACAGCUCAUGCAGCUCAAUAUCAAAAAAACAAACAACCCCAUCAAAAAAAUGGGCAGAAGACCUAAACAGACAUUUCUCCAAAGAAGACAUACAGAUGGCCAAGAGGCACAUGAAAAGAUGCUCAACGUCACCAAUUAUUAGAGAAAUGUAAAUCAAAACUACAAUGAGAUAUCACCUCACACCAGUCAGGAUGGCCAUCAUCCAAAAGUCUACAAACAAUAAAUGCUGGAGAGGGUGUGGAGAAAAGGGAACCCUCCUACACCGCUGGUGGGAAUGUAAAUUCGUACAGCCACCAUGGAGAACAGUAUGGAGGUUCCUUAAUAAAGCUACCACAUGAUCUAGCCCACUCCUGGACAUAUAUCUGGUGAAAAACACGGUUCGAAAGGAUACAUUUACCCCAGUGUUCACUGCAGCGCUGUUUACAAUAGCCAAGACAUGGAAGCAACCUAAAUGUCCACUGACAGAUGAAUGGAUAAAGAAGAUGUACAUAUAUACAAUGGAAUAUUACUCAGCCAUAAAAAAAUGAAAUGAUGCCAUUUGCAGCAACAUGGAUGGACCUGGAGAUGAUCGUACUAAGUGAAGUCAGACAGAGAAAGACAUGUCAUAUAACAUCGCUUCUAUGCGGAAUCUAAAAACAUGAUACAGUUGAACUCAUUUACAAAACAGAAACAGACUCACAGACAUAGAGAAUGAACUUAUGGUUACCAGAGGGGGAAGGAUGGGGGAGAGGGGCAGAUUGGGAGUUUGGGAUUGGUAUGUACACACUGCAUAUUUAAAAUAGAUAACCAACAAGGACCUAUUGUAUAGCACAGGGAACUCUGCUCUGUAAUAACCUACAUGGGAAAAGAAUUUGAAAAAGAAUAGAUACAUGUACAUGUAUAACUGAAUCACUUUGCUGUACACCUGGAACUAACACAAUGUUGUUAAUCAACUGUACUCCAAUAUUAAAUAAAAAUAAAAAAAGAAUAUAUUAAUACAAAAAAAUCACGAUUUUUAUGUGACAAGCCCCCAUAUUUUCAUGGUGGCAAAUGAAUUUAAAAACCAGUUUUUUAAAGUACUGUUUUGUAAAACACCUGAGGGACAGAUCUGACCCCCAAUUUGUACCCACAGCUCCAGAACAAAGCAAGCAGGACACACAGAUGUUAUUAUACAAUUCUGUAUUGAGCGACGCAUUUAUUACAGAACGUGUUCCUUUUUUUUUUUUUUUUAAUUUAAACAAAGUUCAUCAGUCUCUCAUAGAAACAGUCUUGUGGGCUUUUGUUCUGUGUUUACCGUUAUAGGACGUGAACCUGACAAAGUUGUUCACAGGUCUGCCAGCUUUAAGUACAACAGGAUUUCCGUGUUCAAAAGACUAUACUAAGUGCUUAAUCAAAUCCCGUCACACAAAAGCCAGAUUUAGUCCUCUAAGGAUUGCAGUCUGCAUGUAAGCCUAGAUUUCAAUGCUGCGUGGGUUUCAACAGUAAAAAGUGGUGUGUCCCCCACGGUUGCCUUAAUUGGGACAGGGUGGCUAAAAUGAGAUGUUUCGUUUGUUCCAGAUUUGAUUACUCUGAAAA